GUGGGGAAUAUUGGACAAUGGGGGGAACCCUGAUCCAGCCAUGCCGCGUGUGUGAAGAAGGCCUUUUGGUUGUAAAGCACUUUAAGCGAGGAGGAGGCUACCGAGAUUAAUACUCUUGGAUAGUGGACGGUACUCGCAGAAUAAGCACCGGCUAACUCUGUGCCAGCAGCCGCGGUAAUACAGAGGGUGCAAGCGUUAAUCGGAUUUACUGGGCGUAAAGCGCGCGUAGGUGGCCAAUUAAGUCAAAUGUGAAAUCCCCGAGCUUAACUUGGGAAUUGCAUUCGAUACUGGUUGGCUAGAGUAUGGGAGAGGAUGAUAGAAUUCCAGGUGUAGCGGUGAAAUGCGGAGAGAUCUGGAGGAAUACCGAUGGCGAAGGCAGCCACCUGGCCUAAUACUGACGCUGAGGUGCGAAAGCAUGGGGAGCAAACAGGAUUAGAAACCCGGGUAGUCC
rnacentral:rRNA from 1 species